UACGAAGGUGGCAAGCGUUGUUCGGAUUCACUGGGCGUACAGGGUGUGUAGGCGGUUUGGUAAGCCUUCUGUUAAAGCUUCGGGCCCAACCCGGAAAGCGCAGAGGGUACUGCCAGGCUAGAGGGCGGGAGAGGAGCGCGGAAUUCCCGGUGUAGCGGUGAAAUGCGUAGAGAUCGGGGAGGAAGGCCGGUGGCGAAGGCGGCGCUCUGGAACGUACCUGACGCUGAGACA
rnacentral:rRNA from 1 species